rnacentral:sRNA from 1 species
GCCCUGACUUCUCUCGGUGAUAGAUUGUUGCCUACAGGUAUAAGACAAAAGAAACCUCUCCCACCCAAAAUUGUGAUCAGUCAUGGUUUUACCACAACAAUAGAAACCUGAGACACUGUGUCUCUAUUAAUUAACUAAUUGACUGAUUGAUUAAAACACACACAGAUGUUGAAAGCCACUAAUCUCAUUCUCUAUGCUCACUACACUGCCAUUUUAAUUGCACUUAGUUUUCAAGACCCAUCCCAUCAUGGUGGAUAGUUUGUUACUUCUCCAUCGUGGCCUUUUUUUCAUCAAGUAUUUAUCCAACCCUAACUACACUAUGCUGUUCAAGCGCUGUGAAAGCGCAUGUGGUGCUAAAGACACUUAGGAAAACAGAGCCCAAGUGUUUGUUGUUUAACGUCCUAACUACAGAUGAACUUCCCAAGCCGUAUAUUUGAAACUAGAAUACAAAUGAAGAAUUCUACAGGCAAGCUCUGAUCAGACAGCGUCUGUCUGGACUACCUCUUAGAGUUCUAGGAUAACAUCUGGGCCUAGAAAAAAUUGCCCAGAUCAAUUAACAAUACCUGCCACACACGUGUGUGGUUUUAUUCAUAUUUUACUUUUAUGACUUCCUGCAAUGUUUAAAGAGGCCAGGUACGGAAUAUUGAGCAUUGGUAUUUUAAAAAGGAAAAGAAGGAAGGAAGACAAGGAAGAGGGAAGAGAGCUGCAGAAAACUGCUCAAUGGUGACACCAUCCAGCUGAAAAGAGAGUUUCCGAAGCAAAGCCGUCAGUGUGUCAUAGGUCAUAUCUAUCUGGAGGAAGAAAGCCUGAAGAAGGGAAAUUCACUGGCAACCUCUCGGGAAACAGAUGCAGAUGAGGGAAAGAAGGCUAAAGGAAAUCAAAUGCCAAAAGGCAAAGCCAAACUGAAGUCACUUCUCCUGAGCCUUGUGGGGGUGUAGAAAUGACAGAUCGAAAGUGAACAGUUGUCAGAGUCAGGAGAAGAAAAAUCUGCAUGUUCCAGAGAAGUCAGCAGGAGUAAAAUUCCAGUCUCCGGCUGAUAAAGUUGAAGAUCCUCAGGAACUCAAUAAAUCCUUAGUGAUUGACAGCUCUCUGAUCCAGCCUGGAGUUCCAUGGGACCGUCAGCAGUGGUGAGAACUUCUCUGAAGAAACAACCAAAAGAUUGGAAAAGCGUCUGAAAGGAACUGUCUCCAUCUUUAUCCGCUGAUGGAUGCCCCACCUACGUCCUUUGGAACAAACCCAGACUGAGCCGUUGAGCCACUUGCCAGGUGUGAAACACUGGUCCUCAAUGUCUUCGACUUUACGUGUGAAGAUUUGGGUUUCAUAGCGGCAAAGGUUUCAUCCUGGACUAUAUUCUAUAAAGCCAGAAUCUCUUUUCUGAUAUUUCUAAGUUUCUUAAGCAAAACUUAUAAAAAUAACUGUACAGCAAUAGCUGUGAAGAAUCAGCUGAAUGAAUAUAGUUUGGUUCCAGACAGCUCCACAUCACCUUCCAGGAAUCCUUAUUUGCAUUUUUUCAGAGAAUAAACCUUCAGUCUUGGCUCCUUUUUACCUUCCACUCAGGGAGAAAUGGUUCUCUGCCCAUUGUGUUCCUUGGUUGAGCAAAGUUUAAAACAUACAUACAAGUAACAUUAAACAGACUGAGCAGUAAAUAGGAGA